GACGGGGGGGGCAAGUGUUCUUCGGAAUGACUGGGCGUAAAGGGCACGUAGGCGGUGAAUCGGGUUGAAAGUGAAAGUCGCCAAAAAAGUGGCGGAAUGCUCUCGAAACCAAUUCACUUGAGUGAGACAGAGGAGAGUGGAAUUUCGUGUGUAGGGGUGAAAUCCGUAGAUCUACGAAGGAACGCCAAAAGCGAAGGCAGCUCUCUGGGCCUUACCUGACGCUGAGGAGCGAAAGCGUGGGGAGCAAACAGGG
rnacentral:rRNA from 1 species